rnacentral:rRNA from 1 species
AGUGAACGCUGGCGGCAGGCCUAACACAUGCAAGUCGAACGGCAGCACAGUAAGAGCUUGCUCUUACGGGUGGCGAGUGGCGGACGGGUGAGGAAUACAUCGGAAUCUACUUUUUCGUGGGGGAUAACGUAGGGAAACUUACGCUAAUACCGCAUACGACCUACGGGUGAAAGCAGGGGAUCUUCGGACCUUGCGCGAUUGAAUGCGCCGAUGUCGGAUUAGCUAGUUGGCGGGGUAAAGGCCCACCAAGGCGACGAUCCGUAGCUGGUCUGAGAGGAUGAUCGGCCACACUGGAACUGGGACACGGUCCAGAGUCCUGCGGGAGGCAGCAGUGGGGAAUAUUGGACAAUGGGCGCAAGCCUGAUCCAGCCAGACCGCGUGGGUGAAAAAGGCCUUCGGGUUGUAAAGCCCGUUUGUUGGGAAAGAAAAGCAGCAGGUUGAUACCCCGCUGUACUGACGGUACCCAAAGAAUAAGCACCGGCUAACUUCGUG